rnacentral:lncRNA from 1 species
UCAAACCUAAGGUUUAAGUUCUUCCUCUCCCAAACAGCUGAUCCACUAAAAAAAUCCUAUAUAAUAAUUAGUUAAUCAUACCUCUACUCGCUAAUCUUCCAUAAGAGGAUUAGUUCCUCAUGGAUCUCAUAAACACAAUAAACUUAAAUAUAAGGAUAAACAUAAAUAACAAAUCAAGAGUAGAAUUUAGAGAAUCAUGUUUGUAUUAGAUGAAGCAUAAAAAAUCCACUAGCGUUUAAUUGCAUUUACAAA